rnacentral:rRNA from 1 species
GCAUAUCAAUAAGCGGAGGAAAAGAAACCAACAGGGAUUGCCCUAGUAACGGCGAGUGAAGCGGCAACAGCUCAAAUUUGAAAUCUGGCGUCUUCGGCGUCCGAGUUGUAAUUUGCAGAGGGCGCUUUGGCAUUGGCAGCGGUCCAAGUUCCUUGGAACAGGACGUCACAGAGGGUGAGAAUCCCGUACGUGGUCGCUAGCCUUUACCGUGUAAAGCCCCUUCGACGAGUCGAGUUGUUUGGGAAUGCAGCUCUAAAUGGGAGGUAAAUUUCUUCUAAAGCUAAAUACUGGCCAGAGACCGAUAGCGCACAAGUAGAGUGAUCGAAAGAUGAAAAGCACUUUGGAAAGAGAGUUAAAAAGCACGUGAAAUUGUUGAAAGGGAAGCGCUUGCAGCCAGACUUGCCUGUAGUUGCUCAUCCGGGUUUCUACCCGGUGCACUCUUCUAUGGGCAGGCCAGCAUCAGUUUGGGCGGUUGGAUAAAGGUCUCUGUCAUGUACCUCUCUUCGGGGAGAACUUAUAGGGGAGACGUCAUGCAACCAGCCUGGACUGAGGUCCGCGCAUCUGCUAGGAUGCUGGCGUAAUGGCUGUAAGCGGCCCGUCUUGAAACACGGACCAAGGAGUCUAACAUCUAUGCGAGUGUUUGGGUGUCAAGCCCGAGCGCGUAAUGAAAGUGAACGGAGGUGGGAACCUUUCGGGGUGCACCAUCGACCGAUCCUGAUGUCUUCGGAUGGAUUUGAGUAAGAGCAUAGCUGUUGGGACCCGAAAGAUGGUGAACUAUGCUUGAAUAGGGUGAAGCCAGAGGAAACUCUGGUGGAGGCUCGCAGCGGUUCUGACGUGCAAAUCGAUCGUCAAAUUUGGGCAUAGGGGCGAAAGACUAAUCGAACUAUCUAGUAGCUGGUUCCUGCCGAAGU